rnacentral:rRNA from 1 species
AACGAACGCUGGCGGCGUGCUAACACAUGCAAGUCGAACGGACUUUAAUUAAUAGCAAUAUUGGUUAGAGUUAGUGGCAAACGGGUGAGUAAUAUUUAGGUAACUUACCCAGGAGAGGGGAAUAACCCGGCGAAAGCUGGGCUAAUACCACAUGAUGAUAAACUUUGAAAUGAGUUUAUCCAACGGUGCAGCAAUGUACGCUCCUGGAAAGGCCUAAAUCCUAUCAGCUAGUUGGUGAGGUAACGGCUCACCAAGGCUUUGACGGGUAGCCGGUCUGAGAGGACGAACGGCCACACUGGAAUUGAGAUAAGGUCCAGACUCCUACGGGAGGCAGCAGUGGGGAAUAUUCCGCAAUGGGCGAAAGCCUGACGGAGCGACGCCGCGUGGAUGAUGACGGUCUUCGGAUUGUAAAGUCCUGUAGAGGGGGAAGAUGGGCGCAGCAAUGCGUCUGACAGUACUCCUAAAGUAAGCUACGGCAAACUCUGUGCCAGCAGCCGCGGUUAUACAGAGGUAGCAAGCGUUGUUCGGAAUGACUGGGUGUAAAGCGCGUGUAGGUGGUUUAGUAAGUUGAAUGUGAAAUCCAUUGGCUCAACCAAUGAACUGCAUUCAAAACUGCUUUACUUGAGUACGGGAGAGGGAAGUGGAAUUUCUGGUGUAGCGGUAAAAUGCGUAGAUAUCAGAAGGAACACCGGUGGCGAAAGCGACUUCCUGGUCCGUAACUGACACUGAGACGCGAAAGCUAGGGGAGCAAACAGGAUUAGAUACCCUGGUAGUCCUAGCCGUAAACGAUGUACACUAGGUGUGUCCCGGUUAACGGGAUGUGCCGAAGCU